rnacentral:tRNA from 1 species
GGUCGUAGCUUAGUUGGUAUUGCAUUACCCUUGCAUGUGUGAGGCACUGGGUUCAAUCCUCAGCACCA